GAGAAGGAGACUUCGGUCUCUGAUUAGAGCGGCGCACGGGUGAGUAACGCGUGGAUGAUCUACCCUUGAGUUCGGGAUAACGGUGCGAAAGCGCCGCUAAUACCGUAUAACAAUCCAUUUCAUCGUGGGUUCAAAGCAGGCCUCUUCAUGAAAGCUUGCGCUUGGGGAUGAGUCCGCGUCCCAUUAGCUUGUUGGCGGGGUAACGGCCCACCAAGGCAACGAUGGGUAGCUGGUCUGAGAGGAUGAUCAGCCACACUGGAACUGAAACACGGUCCAGACUCCUGCGGGAGGCAGCAGUGGGGAAUAUUGCGCAAUGGGGGAAACCCUGACGCAGCGACGUCGUGUGAGGGAAGAAGGCCUUCGGGUCGUAAACCUCUGUCAGAAGGGAAGAACAUCCGGGAGUCGAACAGCCUCCCGGCCUGACGGUACCUUCAGAGGAAGCGCCGGCUAACUCCGUGCCAGCAGCCGCGGUAAUACGGAGGGCGCAAGCGUUAAUCGGAAUCACUGGGCGUAAAGCGUGCGUAGGCUGCUUGAUAAGUCAGACGUGAAAUCCCUCGGCUCAACCGGGGAACUGCGUUUGAUACUGUCG
rnacentral:rRNA from 1 species